rnacentral:rRNA from 1 species
ACAAAACUUUCAACAACGGAUCUCUUGGUUCUGGCAUCGAUGAAGAACGCAGCGAAAUGCGAUAAGUAAUGUGAAUUGCAGAAUUCAGUGAAUCAUCGAAUCUUUGAACGCACAUUGCGCCCCUUGGUAUUCCGGGGGGCAUGCCUGUUCGAGCGUC